AGUAAUAAAGAAUAAAGAAAGGCAAAUGUUAAAAAAUAGCUAGUAAAGUAAAGAAUGACUAAGAGUAAAGAAUGGAUAAGAAUAAAGUGUAGAAGCAAUUAAUCUACUUAUAUGAGUUGCAUAAUUUACAUAUUGCAUGUCGUGAGGCAAAAGCAUGGUAAUGUUAAUUAGUUGCAUGAUUUAUGAUUUCAUAUCUAUCUAUUGGACUAACAUGUUGUUUGCCUCCUUUGGACCUGUUGGUCGAGCUCUUCCCUUGGGUGGCCGUACCCACUGGGAACCAUGGAGUUGGUUCUCACCCCACGUUGUUUUGGGGUGUUACAGGUUCACACGGGAGCGGCGCGGCGGCGCGAGGCAAGGGCGUAGCUCCAUAGAUAGCGUCCUACCCAGAGACCAGAGAUAGUGGUACCCCGAGUUGGCAUAGCCUAGGAGUAGUGGAAAAUAAAAGAACA
rnacentral:lncRNA from 1 species